GACGAACGCUGGCGGCGUGCUUAACACAUGCAAGUCGAUCGGUAACAGGUGUAGCAAUACAUGCUGACGAGAGGCGGACGGGUGAGUAAUGCUUGGGAAUCUGCCUAUUAGUGGGGGACAACCCGGGGAAACUCGAGCUAAUACCGCAUACGCUCUACGGAGGAAAGCCGGGGACCGCAAGGCCUGGCGCUAAUAGAUGAGCCCAAGUCGGAUUAGCUAGUUGGUAGGGAACGGCCUACCAAGGCGACAAUCCGUAGCUGGUCUGAGAGGACGACCAGCCACACCGGAACUGAGACACGGUCCGGACUCCUACGGGAGGCAGCAGUGGGGAAUAUUGGACAAUGGGGCAACCCUGAUCCAGCGACGCCGCGUGGGUGAAGAAGGCCUGCGGGUUGUAAAGCCC
rnacentral:rRNA from 1 species